AGGGUUCGAUUCUGGCUCAGGAUGAACGCUAGCGACAGGCUUAACACAUGCAAGUCGAGGGGCAGCACGGGAGUAGCAAUACUUGGUGGCGACCGGCGCACGGGUGAGUAACGCGUAUGCAACCUACCUAUCAGAGGGGAAUAACCCGGCGAAAGUCGGACUAAUACCGCAUAAAACAGGGGCACCGCAUGGUGAUAUUUGUUAAAGAAAUUCGCUGAUAGAUGGGCAUGCGUUCCAUUAGGUAGUUGGUGAGGUAACGGCUCACCAAGCCGACGAUGGAUAGGGGAACUGAGAGGUUGGUCCCCACACUGGUACUGAGACACGGACCAGACUCCUACGGGAGGCAGCAGUGAGGAAUAUUGGUCAAGUGGGCGGGAGCCUGAACCAGCCAAGUCGCGUGAAGGAAAAGAAGGAUCUAUGGUUACGUAAACUUCUUUUGCAGGGGAAUAAAGUGCAGGACGUGUCCUGUUUUGUAUGUACCCUGAGAAUAAGGAUCGGCUAACUCCGUGCCAGCAGCAGC
rnacentral:rRNA from 1 species